UGUAAACGAUUCUCGCUAGGUGUCGGCCACGGUGCGACCGUUGUCGGUGCCGUAGGGAAGCCGUGAAGCGAGCCACCUGGGAAGUACGGCCGCAAGGCUGAAACUUAAAGGAAUUGGCGGGGGAGCACCACAACGGGUGGAGCUUGCGGUUUAAUUGGAUUCAACGCCGGAAAUCUUACCGGGACCGACAGCAAUAUGAAGGCCAGGCUGAAGACUUUGCCGGAUUAGCUGAGAGGUGGUGCAUGGCCGUCGUCAGUUCGUACUGUGAAGCAUCCUGUUAAGUCAGGCAACGAGCGAGACCCACGCCCACAGUUGCCAGCGUACUCUCUGGGAGUGACGGGUACUU
rnacentral:rRNA from 1 species